rnacentral:rRNA from 1 species
AGAGUUUGAUCCUGGCUCAGGAUGAAUGCUGGCGGCGCGCCUAAUACAUGCAAGUCGAGCGGUAACAGGGGUAGUUUACUACCUGCUGACGAGCGGCGGACGGCUGAGUAACACGUGGGAACAUGCCCCAAAGUGAGGAAUAACUGCCCGAAAGGGUAGCUAAUACCGCAUAUGAUCUUCGGAUUAAAGGAUUUAUCCGCUUUGGGAGUGGCCUGCGUACGAUUAGAUAGUUGGUGAGGUAAAGGCUCACCAAGUCGACGAUCGUUAACUGGUCUGAGAGGAUGAUCAGUCAGACUGGAACUGAGACACGGUCCAGACUCCUACGGGAGGCAGCAGUAGGGAAUCUUCCACAAUGGGCGAAAGCCUGAUGGAGCGACGCCGCGUGCAGGAUGAAGGCCUUCGGGUUGUAAACUGCUUUUAUAAGUGAAGAAUAUGACGGUAACUUAUGAAUAAGCACCGGCUAACUACGUGCCAGCAGCCGCGGUCAUACGUAGGGUGCAAGCAUUAUCCGGAGUGACUGGGCGUAAAGAGUUGCGUAGGUGGUUCGUUAAGUGAAUAGUGAAAUCUGGUGGCUCAACCACACAGACUAUUAUUCAAACUGGCAAACUCGAGAAUAGCAGAGGUAACUGGAAUUUCUAGUGUAGGAGUGAAAUCCGUAGAUAUUAGAAGGAACACCAAUGGCGUAGGCAGGUUACUGGGCUAUUUCUGACACUAAGGCACGAAAGCGUGGGGAGCGAACCGGAUUAGAUACCCUGGUAGUCG